rnacentral:tRNA from 1 species
GCUUCCGUAGCGCAGUUGGCAGCUCGUCAGUCUCAUAAUCUGAAGGUCUUGAGUUCGAGCCUACACGGGAGCA